rnacentral:rRNA from 1 species
GCGGUAGCACAGGGGAGCUUGCUCCCCGGGUGACGAGCGGCGGACGGGUGAGUAAUGUCUGGGAAACUGCCUGAUGGAGGGGGAUAACUACUGGAAACGGUAGCUAAUACCGCAUAACGUCGCAAGACCAAAGAGGGGGACCUUCGGGCCUCUUGCCAUCAGAUGUGCCCAGAUGGGAUUAGCUAGUAGGUGGGGUAAUGGCUCACCUAGGCGACGAUCCCUAGCUGGUCUGAGAGGAUGACCAGCCACACUGGAACUGAGACACGGUCCAGACUCCUACGGGAGGCAGCAGUGGGGAAUAUUGCACAAUGGGCGCAAGCCUGAUGCAGCCAUGCCGCGUGUGUGAAGAAGGCCUUCGGGUUGUAAAGCACUUUCAGCGAGGAGGAAGGUGGUGAACUUAAUACGUUCAUCAAUUGACGUUACUCGCAGAAGAAGCACCGGCUAACUCCGUGCCAGCAGCCGCGGUAAUACGGAGGGUGCAAGCGUUAAUCGGAAUUACUGGGCGUAAAGCGCACGCAGGCGGUUUGUUAAGUCAGAUGUGAAAUCCCCGGGCUCAACCUGGGAACUGCAUUUGAAACUGGCAAGCUAGAGUCUCGUAGAGGGGGGUAGAAUUCCAGGUGUAGCGGUGAAAUGCGUAGAGAUCUGGAGGAAUACCGGUGGCGAAGGCGGCCCCCUGGACGAAGACUGACGCUCA